UAAGUUAAUACUAAAAUGACUGCUUUCUCCUGUUUCAAAAGUGACUGAGUAACUAAGGUAAACUACUAAACUUCAAUUCUGAGUUCUGAACUUUAGGGUAGGCUAUAGCCUACCCUAGCCUUAUGCUAGCUACGCCCUUG